AUAAAGUCCACUCUCUGCUCCAUCCCACCAUGCCUGGUUUGGGUGGUCUGUUCCACCCUCACAUUAAUAAGGGCAUCUUUCUUCUCAGAGAGUAGGAUCGCAUCCAUAGCAUCCAUACCUUCAAGAGGUAUAACCAUGAGACUUCAAUCUGGUGCAUAAAACAUAAACAUAUGGGACCUCUGGAGAGUCUCCUUAAAAGGAAGAGAUCACAUUCUUCUCAAAACUCCCUGAUUUUAGCAAAGCAUAUAGGAUACCUGUCAUUCCAACAAUCACAUUGGACAUGGAAUGACAGAUCAACGUGUUGGAAGAAG